CAGCAAAUUCCUUCUGAAGAGGGGGUGUUAUAUUCCAGUUUACAGUGACCUCACCAAAAAUCCCUGGACCACGUACUAGACUGUAGAUCUAGGAUUUCAAAAGGGGUAACGUAUACAGGAGAUGCAACUGGCACCCUAGAGGUAACUACAUCUCCCGCUACCAGCAACCUUUCCAACCCUGGUGAGCAGAUGAUGUCCCAGAAGCAGUUCCUGGGUCUUUUUGGGUCCCUGAAGCAGGUCUCUUCACGCUUGGCUGCCCUCCAGUGACAGAAGAGUCUACCAACUGCACAUCAGUAAUAUUGAUUAUGAAUCCUUCAUGUAAUUCUGGAACAUUAUCCUGUAAAAAUAUUUUUAAAGUGUCACCUCCUUUAUAAGCUCAUGUUGUAAAAUGAAUAUUAUGAAAGAAGGGAACUGACUGGGUAGCUGUGUUGCUGACUAGGCAUGUAUCAGAUAAAACCGCAGCAGUUGGGAUUAUAUAACCAGUUCUCUGCCUCAUCACACCAUCUCUGAAAGGGAA